GUUGGCUGCUGUGAGGAUAGGUCAGUGUGUAGAGCAGCUGCCUACAAGAAAAGUCAAGGAGAGUCCACCAUGAGACUUCCUGAAGGAAAUUGGGCUCAGAGCAGGAUGGCACCUGGACUGGACAAAACCUGCUGGCAUCUUCAGCUUCAUCCUUGUCCAUACUGUCAUUCACCUGUGAGAUGGAGGUGAGUGCCCUCCAGCCAA